GACGAACGCUGGCGGCGCGCCUAACACAUGCAAGUCGAACGGAGUUUGUUGGAUUGAUCCUUCGGGUGAUUGAUAGCAAACUUAGUGGCGGACGGGUGAGUAACACGUGAGCAACCUGCCUUACAGAGGGGGAUAACGUUCUGAAAAGAACGCUAAUACCGCAUAACAUAUUGAGUGGGCAUCCACUUGAUAUCAAAGGAGCAAUCCGCUGUAAGAUGGGCUCGCGUCCGAUUAGCCAGUUGGCGGGGUAACGGCCCACCAAACCGACGAUGGAUAGGGGUUCUGAGAGGAAGGUCCCCCACAUUGGUACUGAGACACGGACCAA
rnacentral:rRNA from 1 species